GAAAUCUUUUUUUUAAACCCAUAAAGUUUAUAAAAAUACAGGAUAACUUAAGAUUUGGGGGAGUCAUAAAAAUUCUAGAAAUAAUUAUUUCUUUUUUCUGGUAGAUACUAUGGCACUACACCUAGAUCCCCAUAUCAGGGGCAAUAAUGCAUCUCCUAGUUCUGGGAGCAUGAGCUUCUAAGAAUCACGGAUGUGCUCCUCAUUGAGAAUUGGCCUUCAGACAUACAGAACCGAGAGGAUGAUUGGCACUGAGUGAAACACACAAGUGUAUCUCUUGCCACUGCUGUGCUUAAGUCUAAUGUUCAAUGGACAAGCACAGCUGCCACAGCCUGUUGGGUACUUGGGAACGAAGGGCUUUAACCCCUCAGGAGUGAGAGUUGGGAUCACACCCAUGAGCUGCCUGGAGGUAAGAUUUGCUGAGGGCAGGGAUAGUCCAGAGUGGGUGGUGAGGAGGGGUGAAUGGGUGCCAGUUGCAGCUUGGGUAGACUACUGAGAGGGCCAUUUUUUACCCUUUUAACUCUGAGAUACCCAGGAAAUAAGGCCAGCAAAAAUUCUGGAGUGCUGUUCACAGGUGGAAAUAUUUACAAUAAGAGCAUGGAUCUGAGCAGUAUAAGAGGAGGGCCAUAGUUGAUACCAUGGUGCUCCGCAAAGACGAAUCCUUCCUCAGCACCAGAGCUAUUCUCAGCUUCUGUGAAUAUUACCUGCUGGUUUCUCACAGCUGUGUCCCUCACCAGGCAUUGACCUUGGGAACAGGGAACUGCCCACCCAAGGCUAUAUGCCUCCCCAGAGAGUGGCCCACAACCAGUGACGGGCUGAUGUGAGCAUGUAAGGACUGGUCCCUUUUCCCCAUCCUGUCAGGAACUCAGUUGGUCUGGAGAGUGGAGAUAAGUGGUCAGUUGUCAAAGUUGCCAGCUAAAACAGCAAGCCAGUAGUAAAACAGUUACACCUCUAAUUAUUUUCUGCAAUGGUGCAAGCAAGAGACUUUAAAAAAUGUCUCUCACUUGUGUUUUUCUGCCUAGGUUCUUCUCUUUGAUGUUCUGGUUUCAGAGACCAUUUAAAAAUUCUCAUCACUAUUGCUGAUGUUGGUAACAACAUCUGUCUCCUGGGACUCUGACAAGUACAAACCCCUAUGCCAGGAUUGCUGUAUCAAAGUAUCACAAACUAGGUGACUUGAACAGCAGAAAUGUCUUGUCUCACAGUCCUGGAUGCUGGAAGUCCAAGGACAAGGUUUUAGUAAGGUUGGUUCCUUUUGGGAGCUGGGAGAGAGAAUCUGUUCUAGGCUUCCCUUCUAGCUUCCUGUGACUUGCAUUUCUUGGUGCAUAAAAGCAUCAAGCAAUCUUUGCCUUGAUCUUCCCAUGGUGUUCUCCUUGUGUGCAUGUCUGUGUCCAAAUUUACCCUUUUUAUGAGGACACAGGUUCUAUUGGAUUAAGGCUCAAGAUCACCUCAUCUUAACUAAUUGCAUAUGCAAUGACCUAUUUCCAAAGUAGGCCACAUUCUAAGGUACUGGGGGUUAGGACUUCAACCUAUGAAUUUUAGUGGGGAUACAACUCAACCCACAAUAUAUUACAUUCUUGAAGUCUUCACUGCAGUGAAGUUGCACUCUAUUGCACUGGGAGAUGGCACUGGGGACCGGUGUAUAUGGUGGGGAGAUGCUACUGUCUCCAACUCCACCAUGCUCUGUCACUUGAACUAGAAAGGAAUUAGGUACCAUCCCACCCUCCUCCAGCCACACUGAAAACCACACCCUCAGCUCCACCUGCUGCUUUUUGACCCCUCAGACCCUGGUGCCAUUUGAAGGGUUUAGUGAAGACAAAUCUCAGGUUUUCUUUACUCUGUCCCUCUCCCUGGGUGCCUACGCACAUAAAUGUGCUCUUGCAUUCUCUUUCACCUGCAAUAAAAAAGAGUGAGGUAUACUGAUCUACACUUAUCACCUACCAAGCUCUCUAAGGGUUGGGUGAUGUAUGGAGAGGAGAGGGAAAGAAGUAAUGAGGAAGAGAGCCAGAAGGCUGGAGUCACUGCCAGAGAGAGAGAGAUAGAAAGAGCAAGAGAGACAGAUUAUUAUGGGGGCUAUUAAAUUUGUAUUUUACACACACACACACACACACACACACACACACACACACAAUGUGAUAUUGUCAGGCCUCUGAGCCCAAGCCUGCACGUAUACAUCCAGAUGGCCUGAAGCAAAUGAAGAAUCACAAAAGAAGUGAACAUGGCUGGAUCCUGCCUUAACUGAUGACAUUACCUUGUGAAAUGACUUCUCUUGGCUCAGAAGCUCCCCCACUAAGCACCCUGUGACCUCCGCCCCUGCCCACCAAAGAACAACCCCCUUUGACUAAUUUUCCAUUACCUACCCAAAUCCUAUAAAACAGCCACACCCCAUCACCCUUCGCUGACUCUCUUUUCCAACUCAGCCUGCCUGCACCCAGGUGAUUAAAAAACUUUAUUGCUCACACAAAGCCUGUUUAGUGGUCUCUUCAUAUGGAUGCCUGUGAAAUUUGGUGCCGUGACUCGGAUCUGGGGACCUCCCUUGGGAGAUCAAUCCCCUGUCCUCCUGCUCUUUGUUCUGUGAGAAAGGUCCACUUAUGACCUUGGGUCCUCAGACCAACCAGCCCAAGAAAUAUCUCACCGAUUUUAAAUCGGGUAAGUGGCCUCUCUUUACUCUCUUCUCCAACCUCUCUCACUAUCCCUCAACUUCUUUUUCCUUUCAGUCUUGGCGCCAUCCUUCAAUCUCUCUCUUCUCUUAAUUUCAGUUCCUUUCCUUUUCUGGUAGAGACAGAGGAGACGCGUUUUAUCCGUGAACCCAAAACUCCAGUGCCGGUCACGAACUCAGGAAAACUGUCUUCCCUUGGUGUUUAAUCACUUAAUCACUGUGGGGACGCCUGCUUGAUUACUCACCCACAUUUCAGUGGUGUCUGAUCACUACGGGGAUGCCUGCCUUGAUCCUUCACCCUUGGGGCAAGCACCCCCCACCCUUUCUCUCCAUGUCUCUACCCUCUCUUUUCUCUCCACUUUCCUGGGGGGGGCAAGCACCCCCCACCCCUUCUCUCCGUGUCUCUAUCCUCUCUUUUCUCUGGGCUUGCCUCCUUCACUAUGGGUAACCUUCUACCCUCCAUUCCUCCCUCUUCUCCCUUAGCCUGGGUUCCCAAAAACGUAAAACCUGAACUCACACCUGACCUAAAACCUAAACACCCUAUUUUCUUCUGCAAUGCCACUUAACCACAAAACAAACUUGACAAUGGUUCCAAAUAGUCAGAAAAUGACACUUUCAAUUUUUCCAUCCUACAAGAUCUAGAUAAUUCUUGUCAUAAAAUGGACAAAUGGUCUGAGGUGCCUGACAUCUAGGCAUCCUUUUACACAUCAGUCCCUCCCUAGUCUCUGCUCUGAAUGCAACUCAUCCCAAAUCUUCCUUCUUUCCCUCCCUCCUGUACCCUCAGUUCCAACCUCAAGUGUUGCUGAGUCUUUUCAAUCUUCCCUUUUCACCGACCCAUCUGAACUCUCCCCUUCUCCCCAGACUGCUUCUCCUCAGGUUGCUCCGUGCCAGGCUGAAUCAGGCUCCAAUUCUUCCUCAGCCUCCACUACCCCACCCUGUAAUCCUUCUAUCACCUCCCCUCCUCACACACGGUCUGGCUUACAGUUUUGUUCCACAACUAGCCCUCCCCCACCUGCCCAGCAAUUUCCUUUUAAAAAGGUGGCUAGAGCUAAAGGCAUUAGUCAAGGUUAAUGCUCCUUUUUCUUCAUCUCUCUCUUUGACCUCUCUCAAAUCAGUUAGCGUGUAGGCUCUUUUUCAUCAAAUAUAAAAACCCAGCCCAGUUCAUGGCCCAUUUGGCAACAACCGUUAGACGCUUUAUAGCCCUAGACCCUGAAGGGUCAGAAGGCUGUCUUAUUCUCAAUAUGCAUUUUAUUACCCAAUCCGCUCCCAACUUUAAGUAAAGCUCCAAAAAUUAAAUUCUGGCCCCCAAACCCCACAACAGGACUUAAUUAACCUCGCCUUCAAGGUGUACGAUAAUAGAGAAGAGUUGCAAUUAUGUGCCUCUGCUGUGAGAGAAACCCCAGCCACAUCUCCAGCACAAAAGAACUUCAAAACACCUAAGCCACAGUGGUCAGGCAUUCCUUCAGGACUUCCUCCCCCAAGAUCUUGCUUCAAGUGCUGGAAAUCUGGCUACUGGGCCAAGGAAUGCCCGCAGCCCAGGAUUCCUCCUAAGCUGUGUCCCAUCUGUGUGGGACCCCAGUGGAAAUUGGACUGUCCAACUGGCCCAAGGCUCUGACUGACUCCUUCUCAGAUCUUCUCGGCUUAGCGGCUGAAGUCUGACGCUGCCCGAUCACCUCAGAAGCCUCCUGGACAAUCACAGAUGCUUUGGGUAACUCUUACAGUGGAGGGUAAGUCUGUCCCCUUCUUAAUCAAUACAGAGGCUACCCACUCCACAUUACCUUCUUUUCAAGGGCCUGUUUCCCCUCCCUCCAUAACAGUUGUGGGUAUUGACGGCCAGGCUUCUAAACCUCUUAAAACUCCCCAACUCUGGUGCCAACUUGGACAAUAUUCUUUUAUGCACUCCUUUUUAGUUAUCCCCACCUGUCCGGUUCCCUUAUUAGGCUGAGACACUUUAACUAAAUUAUCUGCUUCCCUGACUAUUCCUAGGCUACAGCCACACCUCAUUGCCACCCUUUUCCCCAGUUCAAAGCCUCCUUCACAUCCUCCCCUUGUAUCUCCCCACCUUAAUCCACAAGUAUAGGACACCUCUACUCCCUCCUUGGUGACCCAUCAUGCACCCCUUACCAUCCCAUUAAAACCUAAUCCCCAUUCAAUGCCAAUAUCCCAUCCCACAGCACAGUUUAAAAGGAUUAAAGCCUGUUAUCACUUGCCUGUUACAGCAAGGCCUUUUAAAGGCUAUAAACUCUCCUUACAAUUUCCUCAUUUUACCUGUCCUAAAACCAGACAAGCCUUACAGGUUAGUUCAGGAUCUGCGCCUUAUCAACCAAAUUGUUUUGUCUAUCCACCCCAUCGUGCCAAACCCAUAUACUCUCCUAUCCUCGAUACCUCCCUCCACAACCCAUCUGUUCUAGAUAAACCUAGCUGACCCCAUAAAUCCUAAAUCCUUUCCUCAUUCACCUUUCCAUUCCUUAAAAAACAGCCCUAAAAGCUGCUCCCAUACUAGCUCUCCCUAACUCAUCCCAACCUUUUUCUUUUUUAUUUCUUUUCUUUUCUUUUUUUUUGAGAAGGAGUCUCACUCUGUUGCCCAGGCUGGAGUGCAGUGGCGUGAUCUCGGCUCACUGCAAGUUCCGCCUCCUGGGUUCACACCAUUCUCCUGCCUCAGCCUCCCCAGCAGCUAGGACUAUAGGUGCACACCACCACACCCAGCUAAUUUUUGUAUUUUUAGUGGAGACGGGGUUUCACUGUAUUAGCCAGGAUGGUCCCAAUCUCCUGACCUUGUGAUCUGCCCCCGCCUUGGGCUCCCAAAGUACUGGGAUUACAGGCGUGAGCCAACGCACCUGACCAUCCCAACCUUUUUCAUUACACACAGCCAAAGUGCAGGGCUGUGGGGUCAAAAUUCUUACACAAGGACCGGGACCGCUCCCUGUGGCCUUUUAAUCCAAACAACUUGACCCUACUGUUUUAGCCUAGCCCUCAUGUCUGUGUGCGGCGGCUGCCGCUGCCUUAAUACUUUUAGAGGCCCUCAAAAUCACAAAGUAUGCUCAACUCACUUUCUACAGUUCUCAUUUCUUCCAAAAUCUAUUUUCUUCCUCACACCUGACACAUACACUUUCUGCUCCCCAGCUCCUUCAGCUAUACUCACUCUUUAUUGAGUCUCCCACAAUUACCAUUGUUCCUGGCCCAGACUUCAAUCCAGCCUCCCAUAUUAUUCUGGAUACCACACCUGACCCCCAUGACUGUAUCUCUCUAAUCCACCUGACAUUCACUCCAUUUCCUCUUAUUUCCUUCUUUCCUGUUCCUCACCCUGAUCACACUUGGUUUAUUGAUGGCAGUUCCACCAGGCUUAAUCGUUGCUCACCGGCAAAGGCAGGCUAUGCUAUAGUAUCUUCCACAUCUGUCAUUGAGGCUACCAGUCUGCCCCACUGCACUACCUCUCAGCAAGCCGAACACAUUGCCUUAACUUGAGCCCUCACUCUUGCAAAGGGAUGACGUGUCAAUAUUUACACUGACUAAAUAUGCCUUCCUUAUCCUGCACACCAUGCUGUUACAUGGGCUGAAAAAGGUUUUCUCCGUAAGUAAGGGUCCUCCAUCAUUAAUGCCUCUUUAAUAAAAAUUCUUCUCAAGGCCACUUUACUUCCAAAGAAAGCUGGAGUCAUUCACUGCAAGGGCCAUCAAAAGGCAUCAGAUCCCAUCCCUCAGGGCAAUGCUUAUGCUGAGAAGGUAGCUAAAAACCAGCUAGACUUCCAACUUCAGUCCCUCACGGCCAGUUUUUCUCCUUUUUAUGGGUCACUCCCACCUACUCUCCCACUGAAACUUCCACCUAUCAAUCUCUUCCCACACAAAGCAAAUGGUUCUUGGACCAAGGAAAAUAUCUCCUUCCAGCCUCAUAGGCCCAUUCUGUUCUGUCAUCAUUUCAUAACAUCUUCCAUGUAGGUUACAAGCCACUAGCCUGUCUCUUAGAACCUCUCAUUUCUUUUCCAUCAUGGAAAUCUAUCCUCAAGGAAAUCAGUUCUCAGUGUUCCAUCUGCUAUUCUACUAAUCCUCAGGGAGUGUUCAGGCCCCCUCCCUUCCCUACACACCAAGCUCGGAGAUUUGCCCCUGCCCAGGACUGGCAAAUUGACUUUACUUACAUGCCCCAGUCAGGAAACUAAAAUACCUCUUGGUCUGGAUAGACACUUUCGCUUUAUAGGUAGAGGCCUUUCCCACAGGGUCUGAAAAGGCCACCACAGUCAUUGCUUCCCUUCUGUUAGACAUAAUUCCUUGGUUUGGCCUUCCCACUUCUAUACAAUCCAAUAAUGGACCGGCCUUUAUUAGUCAAAUCACCCAAGCAGUUUUUCAGGCUCUUGGUAUUCAGUGGAAUCUUCAUACCCCUUACCAUCUUCAAUCUUCAGGAAAGGUAGAACAGACUAAUGGUCUUUUAAAAACACACCUCACCAAACUCAGCCUCUAACUUAAAAAGGAGGACUCUAUCAAGGAUAGAGCUCCAAAAUUCACCGACCAAGCAAGUAAUAACGCUGAACCCCCUUGGGCACGCUCUAAUUGGAUGUCCUGGGUCCUCCCAAUUCUUAGUCCUUUAAUAUCUGUUUUUCUCCUUCUCUUAUUUGGACCUUGUGUCUUCCAUUUCAUUUUUCAAUUCAUACAAAACCGCAUCCAGGCCAUCACCAAUCAUUCUAUACAAGAAACGCUCCUUCUAACAACCCCACAAUAUCACACCUUCCCACAAAAUCUUCCUUCAGCUUAAUCUCUCCCACUCUAGGUUCCCAUGCCACCCCUAAUCCCACUCAAAGCAGCCCUGAGAAACAUCCCGAUUAUCUCUCCAUACCACCCCCCAAAAAUUUUCGCUGCCCCAACAUUUCAAUACUAUUUUAUUUUAUUUUUCUUAUUAAUAUAAGAAGACAGGAAUGUCAGGCCUCUGAGCCCAAGCCUGCACUUGUACAACCAGAUGGCCUGAAGCAAGUGAAGAAUCACAAAAGAAGUGAAAAUGGCUGGUUCCUGCCUUAACUGAUGACAUUACCUUGUGAAAUUCCUUCUGGCUCAGAAGCUCCCCCACUGAGUACCUUGUGACCCCCGCCCCUGUCCGCCAAAGAACAACCCCCUUAGACUGUAAUUUUCCAUUACCUACCCAAAUCCUAUAAAACAGCCCCACCCCUAUCUCCCUUCACUGACUCUCUUUUCAGAUUCAGCCCGCCUGCACCCAGGUGAUUAAAAAGCUUUAUUGCUCACACGAAGCCUGUUUGGUGGUCUCUCCACUUGGACGCGUAUGAAAGAUAUAUAUAUGAGAUAUAUAGAUAUAUAAAUCUCUCAGUGUUUUUUGACACCCUUAGGAAAUAUCUUCAAAGAUUUUGUAGUCAGAUUUGUGUGUGUGGAAGGGGGAGGUGCUUUGGGAUAUAACCAUGUGUUGAGAUUUACCUUAAGGCAUUAACAUGGCAGCUAUACUGAAGGCUCAACACCCCCACGUCCUCAUGCCAAGCCUCAUGCCCAUCAGCUCCUUGGUUGGUAGCGCUGCCCCAACCAGGAUCAUGAUGGCCCAGAUUGACUCAAUCACAGGUUAAGCUUGAGAUGAAAUCUUGGAAAUGCAACCACCUUUAGAGUUUAAGAAGUCCUUCAUUCAAACUAUUAUUUGGUCUUGAGACUAUCCUUUGUGGUAGGCAGAGAAGAUGGGCACAGAGAAGGUGGCUUAACUUGUACUAAGUCUCAGAGAGUGAGGGUUUUAUCUUGAGAUGCUGUCCCUUACAAUACACACGCGUGUUGCAGCUCGCAUGCCCUGCAGCUGGCCUGUUGUGUGAACAGUGAGCACAUUACAGGAGUGAAUUUUUCAACAGGUGAGUAAUAAUCCUAGAGAGUCAUUGAAACUGACUUUAAGAACUAAAAAAAAAACAACAAAAUUAAGGGGCCAUCUAAAAUGUCUAACCUUUCCUCCCAUUACAAUUCUUUUUUGAUAUCAGGAUGAUUUCUAUGAUUACCCUUAUGCAGCUUUGAUCAUCUCUCUAAACCAGUUCCCCCAAGUGUUUUAUGUCACCUUCCAAACAUGGUCUUAGAACCAUGUGUGCAUGCAGGUAUGUAGGAUGUUUGUUUCUCCAGUUAGGAUCUGAUUUUCCACCAGAGGCACUCUGUUUCUGCAGAAUCUCUGACAAUGCACGGAUUAAAUAAUUAGCAAACUUCUGCGAAGAGAGUGGUGCAGGGGAGCCUGGACGGGGCAGUGGGCAGAGACAUUUUUAGUUUGCUUUAAUGUCUUUCCCUUUUCUUUUCUUUUUUUUUGCAUCUUUUAAUGUAAUUGUAUGUACAUAUUACAUAAAAUUUUUUUUAUGGACCAAAAUAAGUCAGCAGACAAAAGUAUGAUCUAUGAUCUAGAGGUCAAGCUGUUCAAAUCCCAGUUCUCCCUUUUACUAGUCUGUGUCUAGGACUGGUUACUUAACCUGUUUAACUCGAGGUAUUUUUUAAUCUGUAAAAAUGGAGAUAAUACUCAUUUCUAGAAAGUUAUUUGCAUUUUGCAGGGCCCAAAGCUUUUAAAACUAUGAAAGCCUUCCUUAAGAAAAAGAAUAUGAAAUAUGUAUUUAAGAUUAGGUAUGAAAGUUAAUAUUUAUGUAGGAAGAGAAAAUAAAUCAAACAGAUGAUACAUUUAAACAAUAACUGACAAAUAUCACAAACCUCAGAACGCUUGUGGCCAUGUGAACACAUUAGUAGGACAUCUCACGGAGCCUUGGCAAAGGCCGGUGGAAAGAGAGGCCUUGAGACUUCAGCUUUACCAACUUUGCGGUAGAAAUGCCUAUGCUUGCGUUGUGACGGGCAACUGUCAUCCCACCUACUCGGGAGGCUGAGGCAGAGAAUUACUUGAACCCAGGAGAUGGAGGUUGCAGUGAGCCAACAUCGCGCCACUGCACUCCAGCCUAGCGACAGAGCAAGACUCCGUCUCAAAAAAAUAAAGGAAAGCCCAUGCUCACUGUACAUGGCAGUUGAGGGGGUUAAAUAAAACACAGCUAGUGUCUGCUCAACACAGAGCCUGACACACAGUACAUCUCUCGUACAUGUAAAUUCCUCUCCCUCUUUUUAUCCCCCCAGAAUUUCUCAGGCAAAGGCAGCCUUAAAGAGGUGCAAUUGCCUUAUUGUUCAUUCCGCAGAUUCCUGCUUUUUCUUCUAUGCCAGUUUGAGGACACGAUGUUAAAAUUAUUACAGGGAGUAACAAGAGGUUUAAAUUAGAUAAAGUGUGUGGAAGUGCCUCACAUAGUGCCUGGUCUCUAUUAAAUUAAUUCAUGACUUCUUUGAAUUGGAUUAUGGCUUGCUGAAAGCUGACACCUCUAUGUAAGGGGAGCUUUAUCUAAGCAACUUGCAAAGUAAGGUGUCUGCACAAUAAUAGAGAUGGGAACUUGGGUCUGAGAAAGCGUUUGUUAUUCUAAAAGGACCUUUAUUAACUACUUUGGAGAAAUCUUGCUACCCAAUUUAAAAGGAGACACUCAUUUAAAACAAAGCUUUUGCUAAACUGUUCACCAGAUGAAUCCAAUUUCAUUGCUAAUACUCGACCAUCCACGCUGUCCUCUACUGAUUCCUUCCCCAAAUGACAUUUUCCCAUUAAGCAGACAGGGCUAGAUUAAAAACAAAACAAAACAAAAACACCCAAAACAAAAACCAAGCAAUUAUGAAGUCUGUGAAUGCUUUUAUAUGACUGUGUUUUGUAUAUUCUUACUCAAUUCAUGUAGUUUUAAUUUUAUUUAUUUAUGAGAUAGAUCAACUUAGAAUUAUCUUUAUUUACAUAUAUAUUUAUUUUUCUUUUGAGUCAAACUUUUACUAAUAUUUUAUUUAUACUCUUCCCCCCAUCUGUCUUGGAAAAGUGAUAAUGUAAUUGCUUUUUCGAUUGAUAGAUUGCUUUAUAUUCUUAAGCAACUCAAAAUGCAAUACAUAAAACAUCUGUGAGAAAACCACACAGGCUUUUUACUGGUCAAUGCAUAAGGAACACAUGAAUAUUGAUUGGAGAAUUAGUAAUCAAAGCAGUCAGGAUUUUGACUGGAAGAACAAAAUCCCAAGCAGACCUAUAUCAUAACCCCUCUUAUUUCAAAAAGUGGAGCUCCUGUGAAAGCAGGAGAUACAAUCUGAUUGUCUGCCGGCCCACCAUGGAACUCUCCUUUAAGCCAGCUUUCUAAUCCAGCUACUGGAAUUGAUGCUACAGCUAGAUAAAGGUAGACAAAAAUAUCUGUUAAAAAUCAGAUAGUUUGAUUCUAUACUGAGAAAACAUAAAAAUGCCUAAAUAAAAAAUUCAGUUAAAUAUCUGAAUUUAUUCAACUAAUUAAUUUACUUAACAAAUUAGUUAACUAAUAAUAUCUUUAUUUAACUAAAAAUCCAUGUCCUUAAAGAGUCCUUACAGGCUCCAGGCCAUCCCUAAAGUCAGGAUCUGUGAGGUAUACAACCUAACAUUGAGGGUCCACUUCGGGAUUGCGUCUGCCAGGCAGAUGAGGCAGCCAGUGAGACACAGGGAAACUGGAGAGGAAAAGAAGCUCUCUCCCUUUCUACAGAAACCGCAUCCCACUACCCUGUGGGUUGCAUGGUUAUCCAGGAAAUGGGCAAGAUGGGAUAAACUGAGAAUUCCUGUUAUGAGCACUGACAUGAAUCCUGUCUCCAUAGUUUACAGGUAUGAC
rnacentral:lncRNA from 10 species